rnacentral:rRNA from 1 species
ACUCCUACGGGGAGGCAGCAGUGAGGAAUAUUGGUCAAUGGGCGCAAGCCUGAACCAGCCAUGCCGCGUGCAGGGAAGACUGCCUUAUGGGUUGUAAACUGCUUUUUAUAUGGGAAGAAACCCCUCUACGUGUAGAGGCUUGACUGGUACCCAUAAGAAUAAGCACCGGCUAACUCCCGGUGCCAGCAGCCGCGGUAAUACGGAGGGUGCAAGCGUUAUCCGGAAUCAUUGGGUUUAAAGGGUCCGCAGGCGGUCAAUUAAGUCAGAGGUGAAAUCCUAUAGCUUAACUAUAGAACGCCUUUGAUA